rnacentral:tRNA from 1 species
GGCUGUGUAGCUCAACUGAAUAGAGCAUUUGACUACGAAUCAAAAGGUUUUAGGUUUGAAUCCUAACACGGUCA